ensembl:snRNA U6 U6 spliceosomal RNA
GUGCUUGCUUCAGCAGCACAUAUACCAAAAUUAAAAUGAUACAGAGAAGGUUAGCAUGGCCCCUGCACAAGGAUGACAUGCAAAUUCGUGAAGUGUUCCAUUCAUGA